UGGCGAACGGGUGAGUAACACGUGGGUAACCUGCCCAUCAGAAGGGGAUAACACUUGGAAACAGGUGCUAAUACCGUAUAACACUAUUUUCCGCAUGGAAGAAAGUUGAAAGGCGCUUUUGCGUCACUGAUGGAUGGACCCGCGGUGCAUUAGCUAGUUGGUGAGGUAACGGCUCACCAAGGCAACGAUGCAUAGCCGACCUGAGAGGGUGAUCGGCCACACUGGGACUGAGACACGGCCCAGACUCCUACGGGAGGCAGCAGUAGGGAAUCUUCGGCAAUGGACGAAAGUCUGACCGAGCAACGCCGCGUGAGUGAAGAAGGUUUUCGGAUCGUAAAACUCUGUUGUUAGAGAAGAACAAGGAUGAGAGUAAAAUUUCAUCCCC
rnacentral:rRNA from 1 species